UACGUAGGUGGCAAGCGAUACUCGGAAUCACUAGGCGUAAAGCGCAGGUAGGAGGUUUAGUAAGUCUGUUGUGAAAGCUCCCGGCUUAACUGGGAGAGGUCAACGGAAACUGCUAGGCUAGAGUGCGGUAGAGGUAGCUGGAAUUCCCGGUGUAGCGGUGAAAUGCGUAGAUAUCGGGAGGAAUACCUAUGGCGAAGGCAGCACUCUGGGACGUGACUGACGCUGAGACGCGAAAGCGUGGGGAGCAAACAGG
rnacentral:rRNA from 1 species